rnacentral:rRNA from 1 species
GACAGAGGGUGCAAACGUUGUUCGGAAUUACUGGGCGUAAAGCGCGUGUAGGCGGCUAAGUAAGUCGGGCGUGAAAUCCCACGGCUCAACCGUGGAAGUGCACUCGAAACUGCAUAGCUAGAGUCCUGGAGAGGAAGGUGGAAUGCUUGGUGUAGAGGUGAAAUUCGUAGAUAUCAAGCGGAACACCGGUGGUGAAGGCGGCCUUCUGGACAGUGACUGACGCUGAGACGCGAAAGCGUGGGAGCAAACAGG